rnacentral:rRNA from 1 species
AAACUUGGUGGUAUACGAUGGUUCCGCGUCUGAUUAGCUAGUUGGUGGGGUAAUGGCCUACCAAGGCAACGAUCAGUAGCCGGCCUGAGAGGGUGAACGGCCACAUUGGGACUGAGACACGGCCCAAACUCCUACGGAAGGCAGCAG